UACUCCUACGGGAGGCAGCAGUAGGGAAUCUUCCACAAUGGGCGCAAGCCUGAUGGAGCAACGCCGCGUCUGUGAUGAAGGCUUUCGGGUCGUAAAGCACUGUUGUAUGGGAAGAAAUGCUAAAAUAGGGAAUGAUUUUAGUUUGACUGUACCAUACCAGAAAGGGACGGCUAAAUACGUGCCAGCAGCCGCGGUAAUAA
rnacentral:rRNA from 1 species